UGACACGCCCCCAGUGAUCUGCAGUCACGUGAAGCAUUUAAACUGGCGCCAUUUUCUGUGCCCGGUCUCAUUCUGCCGCAGUCGGCGUCGCGUUCAGCAACCUUCCUGUGUGUUCGAGAAAAACUGUGAGAAUAUUAAUCAUGUCUGACGAGGGAAAGCUCUUCAUUGGUGGUCUGAGUUAUGAUACCACGGAACAGUCUUUGGAGGAGGCUUUCUCCAAAUAUGGAACCAUUGCCAAAGUUGAUGUCAUCAGGGACCGUGAGACCGACCGUUCCAGGGGAUUCGGCUUUGUUACGUUUGAAAAUCCAGAGGAUGCAAAGGAUGCCAUGGCUGCAAUGAAUGGAAAGUCUGUUGAUGGCCGCAUGAUUCGUGUUGAUGAAGCCGGCAAAUCUGGUGGACGGUCUGGUGGAUUCAGAGGCGGUUCUGGAGGUGGCAGGGGAUUCUUCAGGGGUGGCAGAGGAAGAGGUGGUGGAGGAUACAGUGGAGACAGAAGCUACGGUGGCGACAGGAGCUAUGGUGGAGACCGCAGUUAUGGCAGUAGUGAUAGAGGCUAUGGUGGAGGGGAGAGAAGCUAUGGCGGAGGUGACCGUUCAUACGGUGGUGGUGGUGGAGGAGGAUACUCCAACAGGAGUGGAGGAUACUCCAGCGGUGGCAGUGGGUACAGGGAUAACAGGUUUUAGGAGCCAGGGGGGAUAUGACCGCUCUGGCGGAUCCUACAGAGACAGUUACGACAGCUACGCUUCACACGAGUAAAAAAAAAUCCUGAUUCCAAGAUCCAUCCCUACUACGCUGGCUGUAUUUAAAAAGAUGCGCUCUUCGAAGACCUUUUUUAUUUUUACUUUUUUCUUUACGUUUUGUGUUCUGGUUCAAAUGUUCUAUUAAAGACAGACUCCUUUUUUACCGUGUCAAGUAUCCGCAGGAUGUUCCUCUCAUUGAGGAGCUGCCUAAAAUCCAUGAGCAUUCAGUUACUAUAAGACUUUCAAGCCUAGUGAGGCUUCCUGUAUCUGCCAUUUUUUUACCUUGCGAUUGUUAUAGAUGCUCACAGGGGGUUGAAAUUGUCUUUGUUUUUCUUUUAGUAUGUGUUUAAGAAAUUUGUCUCUGAAACCAUGCGUGAAAAUUGAACUGUCCAACACAGCCUGAUAGCUUCUAAGACCAAUUUCCUCAAAUAUCUUUGGACCAAUUUCUUAAUAUCGGCUCACUGAAAGUGCUAGGGGCAUUUGCAUUUAAACUGAAUUUUAAAGCGGCAGCUUCGCCAUCAGAAAAUAUUCUAAUCCGAUCCUCCAGUAGAAGCUUGAUAAGCUGUGAUGUGCUCUUUAUGGCUCCUUGCCACCUCCAUUUUGUGAUGCAUUCCUUUAGUGAAGCAAGGCAGGCAUGUUGCGUUGGAGUUGUCUCCGGCAAACCUCCUUGAUGUUGCUAAAGAUUUGUAAAUAUUCAUUAUCCAAAGAGUAAACCACUUCAGUGGGUCAUUGAGCCUCAUGUUAGGACUAAUGACCCAUGGUACUUUGCUCUUUGCACAGUCUAAAUUUAUUUUUAAAAGUAUGCUCUACUGUGGACUGAACUUAUCCUCUUAAAUGUCAAGGUUUUGUUCCUUCUUGGAAAGAAAUGUGCUCUGUUUCUGUAUAUCAACACCUCAGAAUCCUUUUUCUUUUUUGUAUUAAUCUGGCUUCAUGAAGCCCAUUAAAAAAAAUGGUUGGAAACUGCUCUGA